rnacentral:misc_RNA from 2 species
UCGUAGGGCUUCUGCCCUGUCGAGAUAGCGUCCUUGCCUAUUUUUUGGAGUACCUUUUUGUUUCCUCAGCAGGCUUGCCUGCUACUGGGGACCCCUUAAACUCUUUGUAAAAUACAGCAACUGUCUGAAAAACAAACAAAAAAUCA